rnacentral:rRNA from 1 species
AAAUUGAAGAGUUUGAUCAUGGCUCAGAUUGAACGCUGGCGGCAGGCCUAACACAUGCAAGUCGAACGGUAGCACAGAGAGCUUGCUCUCGGGUGACGAGUGGCGGACGGGUGAGUAAUGUCUGGGAAACUGCCUGAUGGAGGGGGAUAACUACUGGAAACGGUGGCUAAUACCGCAUAACGUCGAAAGACCAAAGAGGGGGACCUUCGGGCCUCUUGCCAUCAGAUGUGCCCAGAU